rnacentral:rRNA from 1 species
AUUGAACGCUGGCGGCAUGCCUUACACAUGCAAGUCGAACGGCAGCACGGGAGCAAUCCUGGUGGCGAGUGGCGAACGGGUGAGUAAAGUAUCGGAACGUGCCCAGUCGUGGGGGAUAACGUAGCGAAAGUUACGCUAAUACCGCAUACGAUCUAUGGAUGAAAGCGGGGGAUCGCAAGACCUCGCGCGAUUGGAGCGGCCGAUAUCAGAUUAGGUAGUUGGUGGGGUAAAGGCUCACCAAGCCGACGAUCUGUAGCUGGUCUGAGAGGACGACCAGCCGCACUGGGACUGAGACACGGCCCAGACUCCUACGGGAGGCAGCAGUGGGGAAUUUUGGACAAUGGGCGAAAGCCUGAUCCAGCCAUGCCGCGUGCAGGAUGAAGGCCUUCAGGUUGUAAACUGCUUUUGUACGGAACGAAAAGGUUUGGCCUAAUAAGCUGAGCUCAUGACGGUACCGUAAGAAUAAGCACCGGCUAACUACGUGCCAGCAGCCGCCGUAA